CCCCAACUCCACGACCCUAACCUGUGCCUGCCGCCGCCGCCCUCGUGCUCGAUCCACAGUCCUGCCGCCGGCCUCGCGCUCCACCCCCGUCGUCAAGCCGUCGUCUCGAAGCUCGCACUCCCCCGCCCCCGAGCUCCACCCCGACAUCCACCCGUCCUUGCACUCCGCCCCCCUCCCCCCGAGCUCCAUUCCGAGAUCGAGCCGCCGUCCUCUCCAGAUCUAACUGCCGUCCUUGCCCCCUCCCCUGACAUCCUGCCGUCUUCCCCUCCCCAAUCCCCGUCCCUGCUACUACAGGGGCUCCAUCUCCGGGCUCCCGUUGCUGCCACACCUGCUGUUGCCGGGGCUCCAUCUCCGGGCUCCCGUUGCAGCCGGAUCUGCUACUACUGGACCUGCUGCUGCUAGGGCUCCAUCUCAAAUCGAGGACAUUCACCCCAUUCCAUUCCCCACUUCCCUGCCGCCGCCGCCCUCGCGCUCCAUGCCCCCAUCCCUGCCGUCGCUCCACCGCCUACGUCCCAGCCGCCCUGCCGUCGGCGUCACCCUCGUCCUUGCCGCCACCGUCCUCAUGCUUCCCUGCCGCUGCCGGGGUCACAGCCAUAACUCGACCCCGAGCUCCGUUUGUCCGCCGUCCCCAACCCCAUCCCCCUCCUGCCUUCCUCCGAGUUACAACAACGACUGCACCCCCCCCCCCCCCCCCCCCCCCCCCACACACACACCACACACACACACCAAUGGUGGGAUCCCCGAUUUGUUUUCUUUGCUGUUGUUCUUCCAGCCGUGAGUACCACCAUGUGUCAGUAGAUCGAAUUGCUAGUUUGCUGCAACUUGAGAGUUGUACCGUUGGUAGCUGCGGGAGUGGUUUGGACAUGUUGUUGAUCUGAAGCAAGACCUGAUUCCUGCUCACUUAAUCUGCCCCUUUUUGUUUGAUAAUAUGGCGUAGUAUUACGAAGAUUACUAGUUGGAUCCGUAUACCACUGAGCAGCAAAAAGAUUAUACAUUGCUUUGUUUUAUUUUCUAAUUCGUUGCUCAGAUCGAUGGUUAGAUGGACAUGGUACUUUAGCUCCGGAAUUCUAAGCUUGCAAGUUUCUGAAUUCUAGGUCUGCACCGGUAUCAUGAGUUAAUCAGAUGCGUGUCACCAGCUAUAGUGAUGAUAUUGCCAUCAUUUUCCUGUACAGAGAGCAGUGCCUGCUACAAUCAAACUAUAGUUGCAUUAUUCUGUGCCAAUCAGUUUACAAAAAAAAAAUUGUCCUCUCAAACUAAUGUGUUGUCUUAUUUUCUCACUUUGGCUGGUACAGUGAUACCCAUCUAAUUGCAGUCGAGGGGAUAUGUGAUAACUUGAAACUGAGCACAGAACGUUCUUUCUUGGUUUGCAUUUGGUGUAACCCCCCUUGAUUGUUCUUUUUCCUCUGUCUUAUAAUCCUCUGAUUGUCAAUCCAGUCAUAUAUUGAUGAUGUAUUGAUCAUUGUUUAUCAGAAGUUUUCUACACAUUGCUGCUGGAUAGAGCAUCUAUUGCAACUACAAUUGGCGAUAUCUACACAGAUCUAUACAUAAAAGAUAAUAGGAAGUAAGCUUCUAUAGUGUGACGUAGAGGUAUUGGCCAUACACCAUGAAUGAUAGAGGUUGUGCAGCUGAUAUUCAUAGUUUAAUUACUUUUUCCUCCAAAGAGAUACAUAUUUUUAGCUAUAAUGUGUUACCUUGCUGACAGUACAUCGAUAUAUUCUCCAAUCUGGUUCAACUAUGCCUAUACUCUUUAGUUUUAUGUUGAUGUUUACACUCUCUUUCUUCUGGUCUGGAGUCUUGUAUUUUUUUUCUGAGGUGUGUACUUCACUUUUAUGUUGUAUACACAGGUAUUUUCAGAUAAAUAAAAGCAAGAACAUUAGAGAGCAUGCUGGGCCCUGAAUUUGGAGAAUCUAGGCGUAUAUCUGUACAAUAUUGUUGAGGUUGGUUGAUACAUGUAUGCACAUUUUUCAGAGCAACGUGCAGUGGAAGAAGCAGCCUGUGAACUGAAAUAGUUUGCAUUGGAAACAAGUGCUAUGAAAUACAAGGAUUUCAUCAAUUGCCUAUUAGAAGACCUAUUAAAAAGUAACGAUUAUUUUUGUAAAUCAAGGAUGAAAAGAAGACAACUGAUGUGCAAGGACGUGCAGGUACUCAACCACCUAGUGCGCAUGGAUGUGAUGACUUCGUAGUCUUAUGUAGCAUUUGGCCGUUUGUAGUAUUUCGGACUAGCCAACUUGUAAUCAUGAAUCUUAUGUGCGUUCUACCAUUUGGUGCUUCAAGUGUUCUGGAGUAGAAAUCUUGUGGUCAUGGAUGUGACUUUUAAGUUUUUUGGACCAUUUCGUGUUUCAACUCUUUUAGAAUAACAAAUAGUGGUCCUUUUAUGUGACUUGUGUUUCUGGACGGUGGUCAAGAUGGCCAAACUUUGCUUUGUCAAUGUUGUCUUGUUUUUGAACUUGUGAUCAAUAUAUAUGUAUGUUUGUGAACA